UAGGGAAUCUUCCGCAAUGGACGCAAGUCUGACGGAGCAACGCCGCGUGAGUGAAGAAGGAUUUCGGUUCGUAAAACUCUGUUGUUAGAGAAGAACAGCGCAUAGAGUAACUGUUAUGCGUGUGACGGUAUCUAACCAGAAAGCCACGGCUAACUACGUGCCAGCAGCCGCGGUAAUACGUAGGUGGCAAGCGUUGUCCGGAUUUAUUGGGCGUAAAGCGAGCGCAGGCGGUCAAUUACGGCUGAUGUGAAAGCCCCCGGCUCAACCGGGGAGGGUCAUUGGAAACUGGUUGACUUGAGUGCAGAAGAGGAGAGUGGAAUUCCAUGUGUAGCGGUGAAAUGCGUAGAUAUAUGGAGGAACACCAGUGGCGAAGGCGACUCUCUGGUCUGUAACUGACGCUGAGGUUCGAAAGCGUGGGUAGCAAACAGG
rnacentral:rRNA from 1 species